UACCUAUGGUGAGGACACAUAUUCAACAACUCCUUAAACCUCUCCUAACUUUGAUACAAAGUCUCACUAUUCUUUUGUGCAAAAGUGGAGAUUUCCUUCUUCAAAGCA